ACGGCUUUGGACAAAAGUCUGUAGCCAGUGCAUUUGAAACUCCCCUUGCACCAGGGCUGACUGUAGCUGGGGGAAGACAUUUUACUCAUUUGCUCUUUCCUUUAACACAGUCAGCUGGUCCCUCUUCUCAGGUGUAGAUCAUCUAUUAUAAUUUGACCUAAUUCUGAUAAGGAAAGUCCCAGGACUUACCAGCGGGGAUAGGCCUCACUUACAAGACAGCUCU
rnacentral:lncRNA from 1 species